UACGGAGGGGGCUAGCGUUGUUCGGAAUUACUGGGCGUAAAGCGCACGUAGGCGGCUUUGUAAGUUAGAGGUGAAAGCCCGGGGCUCAACUCCGGAAUUGCCUUUAAGACUGCAUCGCUAGAAUUGUGGAGAGGUAAGUGGAAUUCCGAGUGUAGAGGUGAAAUUCGUAGAUAUUCGGAGGAACACCAGUGGCGAAGGCGACUCACUGGACACAUAUUGACGCUGAGGUGCGAAAGCGUGGGGAGCAAACAGG
rnacentral:rRNA from 1 species